rnacentral:lncRNA from 1 species
CUUUAAUAGCACUGGUCACAAUCUCCAACUCUCUGAUUCACUAAUUCAUUCUCUCAUUCAUUAAUUCAUGCUCUCAUUUCCUGCCUCCUACACCAUAAUAGCAGCACUAUGAGGGUGACAGCAUUGUGAAUCCAGCUUACUCCUCCCACAGCACUUAGAGCAGAUUCUUGGCACAGAAGGUACUCUAUGAAUUUGACUUGAAUGAAUGAAGUCACAUUCGAUUAUGAGAAGAAGAAACCUUUCUCAGUUCUAAAACACAUUUUUAUUGAUUUGAACUGGGCUGCAUCUUACAACAGAUGAGCAUAUUUGGUGCUGUAUUUCACUCCCACUUCUCCCUGAAAAGCUGUUAGUACAUUGGGGUGCUCAUGGAGUAAAUUGUGUCUUAGCACCAAGGAGGGACAACAAACAUGAUUCUGAGCAGAGCUUUGCUGCCUGUAUCCAGGAUGGUUUUGCUGAGCAAUGAGAAGGAAGGAGGCACAUCAAAGGGGAUGGAAUAAGGAAACCAGUGCCCAGAAAUGAUUAGAAGGAACAGAGAGGCAUGAAGGACAUCAGGAGAAGGCAGGACCAGCCCCAACGGUCUUCAUCUGGGACCAGGGAACGAUGCGGCGGGGAGCCCCUCCCCCUGGGCGUCUGCGGGCGGCAUUUUUAGCUGCAUAUAGUAUCCGAGCGAGGAGGGAGAGGGAGAGAGACGGACGCGAAGUUGGGUGUUUUUCCGAUGCAUUAAUUAUUUUUUUUAAAAGGGAGGGGUGGGGACCAAAGUUCAAGACACGCCAGCAGACACAGGUGCGCUGCGGCGGCCGCUGGUCCGGCGCGGCCGUUCCCGGGUUCGCGGACACCCGCCGCGCGCCUCACCUGGCUGCGCACCUGAGCGGGCCCCGCGGCUCGGCGCCCCCUCGGCUCCCCGGCGUCGGGCCGCCUCCCUCGCGCCUGUGGAACUUGCUGGAGUUCGGCCCCUCCCAGGACGCGAGUGGUCCCGAGAACAGAUCGCCUUUUCAAUUUGUUGAUUCUUUCUCUGUGCAGAGAAGUUCAGAAAGUAUAAAGAAUAAAUAACAAUCAACCAUAAUCCCACUACUGAAAGAUCUGGAUUUUGUUGGGAAACUCAAGUACAACACUUAGCAUCACUUCCCAAGGACCUCCAUGUGGUUUGGUAAGCCAAA